GGGGCCGUAGCUCAGCUGGGAGAGCGCCUCGUUCGCAAUGAGGAGGUCGGCGGUUCGAUCCCGCCCGGCUCCACCA
rnacentral:tRNA from 2 species